rnacentral:rRNA from 1 species
GACGUAGGGCGCGAGCGUUGUCCGGAUUUAUUGGGCGUAAAGAGCUCGUAGGCGGCUUGUCGCGUCGACCGUGAAAACUUGGGGCUCAACCCCAAGCCUGCGGUCGAUACGGGCAGGCUCGAGUUCGGUAGGGGAGACUGGAAUUCCUGGUGUAGCGGUGGAAUGCGCAGAUAUCAGGAAGAACACCAACGGCGAAGGCAGCUCGCUGGGACGGUACUGACGCUGAGACGCGAAAGCGUGGGGAGCGAACAGG